rnacentral:rRNA from 1 species
CCCAGACUCCUACGGGAGGCAGCAGUCGGGAAUAUUGCGCAAUGGAGGAAACUCUGACGCAGUGACGCCGCGUAUAGGAAGAAGGUUUUCGGAUUGUAAACUAUUUUCGUUAGGGAAGAUACAAGACAGUACCUAAGGAGGAAGCCCCGGCUAACUAUGUGCCAGCAGCCGCGGUAAUACAUAGGGGGCAAGCGUUAUCCGGAUUUAUUGGGUGUAAAGGGUGCGUAGACGGGGAAACAAGUUGGUUGUGAAAUCCCUCGGCUCAACUGAGGAACUGCAACCAAAACUAUUUCCCUUGAGUGUCGGAGAGGAAAGUGGAAUUCCUAGUGUAGCGGUGAAAUGCGUAGAUAUUAGGAGGAACACCAGUGGCGAAGGCGGCUUACUGGACUGUAACUGACGUUGAGGCUCGAAAGCGUGGGGAGCAAACAGGAUUAGAUACCCGAGUAU